UUUGAAUUAGAGCUCCUUUAAAGUGUUUUAGAUUAUGAUAAUAAUGUUAUAUUAUUUUUAUAAUAAUACAUAUCUGCAAACCAAAUGUUUUUCUGAAAACCCCUUUUUGCAUCUUCAAUAGUUGUAGAUGUUCCAACGUUCGUAGACCUUUCAUACAAAAAGACCUAAUACUGUCUGUUUCAUCGGUUCCUCCGAUACAGGAUAUUUGGUUUAGAGAACAAAGGCUAUGAAUUCAAACAACAGGAGGGGAUGUCGUGACAUUCUGUCUGCAACCGGGUUGGGGGGGGUCACCGGCCGCAGAUUAGAGGUAUCUAUGUUUAACCCCGGGUGGUCGGCUGAUAUCUCGACAUGCCUUAUGCAUGAUAGUGCACACCUUGGUUUCAAACGAUUCUCUACAGAUAGAAUGGGGCUACAUGCUUGGGCCCCUGUUGAACACACACCCCCACCCUUUGUUUUUGAAACAAACACACACACACACACACUCCUGCUGCUCCGUCACACGCACACUCAUGCACGCACCCUGAUUUUCCGUGUCUUUUUUCUUCGUGACAGACCGGGGUGAUGUCGUGAAAGGACAUUUUCCUAUCGUUAAAGGGUGAGAUACAUUUUUUAAACCAGUGAUUUAAUUCCAAAAUAUUUAGUACAUACGUUUUAAAGACGUGUUAGAAUUAAUGACCAAAUUGUACUACUAUUUAAACAAGAAUCAUUAGUAUUUUAUGUAAAAACAUUGGAGGCCUACAGUUGUACCGCACACGCACGCACCCGGAUUUUCUGUAUUUUUUUCUUCGUGACAGACGUGGUUGAUGGCUGGAAAGGACAUUUUCCCUUCGUUAAAGGUUCUCACUGAAGGGGAUAAUUCUCACUGAAACUACAGAAUAAAGCCGCCAGUUAAAAUCAUGGAACGGUUGUGCUGUGGUUACUGAAGGGAGCUACAAGACCAUUAUUCGUUUCGAAUUCACCAACUCAAAGACGCUUGCCCGCUCCAUCAUAACUCCGUAAGUUUUCCCUCCCUGUGUAGAUCAAACGUCCUGCCUGUAAAUCCUGGGUAUGCCCACAUCAUUAAUGAAUAAGAUGUGUAGAAAACUGUUUAGCCAUAGUUAAAGGCCUUUCAUAAAGAGCCUGUCAUGAUUGCCUGUGCCUCAUGUUUAACACGUAUUGCUUGUUACCGAAUACUACUGUUGUACAUUUAAUAUCUACUAGCAGAUUUCGUCGCAUUUGCACAAAUUCUGUCAUGUUACUGUGGUCUUUUAAAAGUCAAUAAAUAUGUGUGUAGAGUGUACAUGUUUGUUUCACUGUAGAUCUGUUUAAGACCUCCUAGAAACACCUAAUUAAAGGCCUUUCAUAAAGAGGCGGUCAUGAUUGCAUGUGCCUCAUGUUUAACACGUAUUGCUUAUUACAGAAUACUACUGUUGUACAUUUAAUAUCCCCUAGCAGAUUUCGUUGCCUUUGCACAAAUUCUGUCAUGUUACUGUGGUCUUUUUAAAUGUCAAUAAAUAUGUGUGUAAAGUGUA